rnacentral:misc_RNA from 1 species
GAUGAAGAACGUAGCGAAAUGCGAUAAGUAAUGCGAAUUGCAGAAUUCAGUGAGUCAUCGAAUCUUUGAACGCACAUUGCGCCCAUUAGUAUUCUAGUGGGCAUGCCUGUUCGAGCGUCAUUAAGUCCACUUAAGCCCUGCUUAGUGUUGGGAGACUGCUCCAGCGGUGCUACCCUGUAGCUACCCUGCAGCUCCUCAAAGACAGCGGCGGAGUUGUGGUAUCCUCUGAGCUUAGUAACUUGUUCUAGCUUUCGAGUACACCACUUCCCCUGCCGUAAAACCCUUAAUUUUUAAUGGUUGACCUCGGAUCAGGUAGGAAUACCCGCUGAACUUAAGCAUAUCAAUAAGCGGAGGA